rnacentral:rRNA from 1 species
GGAUUAGAUACCCUGGUAGUCCACGCCCUAAACGAUGAGUGCUAGACUUCGGAUUAUGUUCGGAGUCGCAGCUAACGCGUUAAGCACUCCGCCUGAGGACUACGGUCGCAAGACUAAAACUUAAAGGAAUUGACGGGGGCCCGCACAAGCGGUGGAGCAUGUGGUUUAAUUCGACGAUACGCGAAAAACCUUACCAGCUCUUGACAUGGGGAUUUUGGACCUUGGAGACAAGGUUCUUCGGUUCGGCCGGGUCCCACACAGGUGCUGCAUGGCUGUCGUCAGCUCGUGCCG